GGGUGCAAUCAUGCUAGCACUAAAGCACUAGAUCCCAUCAGAACUCAGAAGUUAAGCGUGAUUGGGCGAGAGUAGUACUAAGAUGGGUGACCCCAUAGGAAGUCCUCGUAUUGCAUUCC